AAACAGAUGCUAAAAUUUAAUCAUCUUUGUCUAUCGCGAUUUUAAUAUCGCAUUUGUUUCGUCUGUCGCGAGUUCGACAUCGUUUUUAUCUAUCCGGGCUCUUCUAAAUUUUUCGUGUUGUUCGGAACAUAAUCGUUCCAAAAAUCGGUGCGUCCGGUGAUUAUUUAAAAUACAUCGCUCGCGCGAAUACGAAUUCAGAAGCUUUACCUACUCUUACGAUUUUAUCCCGGGCAAAUUAGUUUAAACUCGACGACUAAAAUGUUCGGGGCAAAAUAAUCCGAAUCACGCGUUGUCUGAGAAAAAUCGUGCGCGAGGUUAUAAUUCAAUUUAUUCUUCUGCACGCUGUUUCGAAGACAAAAUCGCGUAUACGUUCGCAGAUAUUGUUUCGGCUAAUUUCGGUCGAAUCACGCUGAACAAAUUAUCAGUACCGAAAUCAGUUUAUUUCGGUCUGUUGUUUCUUGCCCGAUCCAAAACUUUGGAUAUAAAUAACGGCGCAAACUCAUCUGAUUCCAAAGCAUUCGCUAAAUCAAAACCAUGUCAUCCUUACUAUCUAUAUCGUAUACAUUGCUAAGAAAAUUAGUACCGAGCUGAUUAUUCAUAACUAAUCUGUUUUCCUGUUCAGACUGCAGAUAAAAUUAUCUACUCUAAAUUAAAUCAAGCGCGGUCUAAAUUUGUCGAAGCCGAAAUGAAUUUGGUCCGGUCCGUGCGUUUCUUAUUUCGAUCUAAUUUUUGUCAAAUAUAAAUAACGGGUACGAAUUUGUCUGACAUCGAGGUUUUCACUAAAUCAAACAUUGUCUAAAUAUUGUAGCCGAUAAAUUUUAGGUCCAAUCCAUUAUUUGUCGCGCAAACCCUAAGUCUAGAACCUAGGAUUAUAAUUGUAAUUCUGUUUGGUGAAAUGAAAAAAAAAAAUCUGCAACACAUAUCCGUUGCUGUUGCGGUGAAGAUUUUUUUUCUCUCCACCGUUCUCUCUCCCUCCUCUUGAUAUUUCUUGCCGCCGCUCAGGUAAUGGAAAAUAUCUUGCUGCCUCAUCCAAGCACCGCUCAAACCAUUGGUUUUAUCUCCUGCUGCCCUCUGCUCAUUUGCCACACCGAGCAGCCCCUGGAGGCUUCCUCCCAAUGCCAUACAUCUUCACGCACUCAACCUCGCUCGCCUCUCCCCUCAUCUCUACUAUUUCUGGCCGGCAACAGAAGUCCUUCUCCUCGAUUUGUGCUUAUGUGCCCACCAGCCGUUCAUCGCUGCCGCAAGCUCGCAUCUGCUCUCCACCACGGCGAGCUCCCCAUCGCCGUCCAGCUCGCCGGCUUUAGCUACAGGGCGCCAUCAACCACAAGCUCCGACCUGGAACGCUCGUGCUCAGCCUCCGGUGGACCUUCCUCGUCGACUCCUGCUGCGCUCACCUGCGUUUCCUCCUGCGCCGGCCAUCCAGCAGCUUGCCCCACCCCACUCGCGAGUUUUCUGCAUCGCGCUGUCCUAGCCAUGGACGCUGUCCUGCACGCGCCGGCAUCGCGCUCGGACCUCUCCCAACAUCCUCUCGGCAACUAGGCAUCUCGCCUCGUUUUCCAGCAUCGCCAGACCCCGCUGCUCCUGUGUCAACCUGGCUGACGCUGCUCCCUGCUCGGCCUCUGCUUGUGUGUCUCCUCUGCUACCUCACUGGCGAGCUUGGCUUCAGCUCCGUCGUUCGGCCAUGGACACCUGAACAUACACCUCCAUCUUCCUGUGUCACGUUCGGCUCGCCUGAACCUGAGUUCGCCAGUCGUCCCUGCUCGUCGCGCCAAGCACCAGAGCAUCGGAUGUCUGGAUCCCACCGAACAUGGUCGCGUCUCCCCUCACCUUGCCGCGGUCGGGCUGGCCGUCGUCGUCAGCUCGCCUCCAGGCCAACGAAUUUGUCGAACUGCUCACUGCCAGGACGUCGUGCCACGACGCGAGCUCGAUCCCCGCUGUCGUCGCUUCACCGUGCUCGCUAGCCGUGCGCCCCUCAGCUCCCUGUUCGGCAAAAUGAGUGGUCCGGUGCUCGUCGCGUGUUGAGAAGAUCGACACCGAUGUUCUUGCCAAGGUGUUGAUCGUUUGAUUUUGAGGAAAACGACGCACACAUGGUGUUCAGUGAAUGGUUCAAAUCGGAUAGCCUCGUCGAAAUCACGGCUCCGAAUCGAUUUGGAUCUGGUAAGCUGAUUCUCUACUUCUAUUAUUUGAUUUUAAUAAAUGGAUUGGUGGCUAUGUACGUUGCGAUGAUUAUCUCAUUGUAAGAUUACGUGUCGUAGUUAUAUUGUUGUACAACGAAAUGUCUUAUUGUGCGCAGUGGUAUGGUUAGUGUUUGUGGCCACGGUUUGAUUGUUCGUUGGCGUAGGCUCCUCGUAGAGAUUUGCGGGUUUAGUUAGGGUAAGCUAGCGCAGAACCAAAAAUUAGUGUGAUAUUUAACGUAAGCCCGAAUUAGUAUUUGUUAAUCAAUAUAAUGGAUUCGAGCUGAACUUAAAAUUGGCGCACAUUUUUAUUAUUCCUAUUAGCCGAAUUGUUAGAUAGAUUGAAUAGAUUGAAUAAAUUUAAAUGAUGUGGAAUAAAAUUAAAAUAAUUUUUGGUGAGCGAUGUGGUAUAAUUAAUAAUGUAAAGUAUAAGUUUAGCAUUUAUUUAAUUAGUAUGUAAUUCAAAUUAAUUUAGAAACAAGAUUUAAAAGAUUAGUUAAAUUGUUCUUGCACAUAUUAUAACUCUGGGUGUCCAAUAAUAAGAGUCUGAAUAUUGUUAGACCCUCUAUGUUAUGCUUUAGCUAAGGAUAACAUAGCGUGUAUUCAUAUUCAUUGCUGCUUGAUGUUUGAAUUAGAUUUGGUUAAGCUAGAAAGGCACGGCUAUUGCGCUUAGUCAUACGUCGAUAACUAGUGUUUUCGUAUGAAACGGUUUAACGCCUCGUCACUAGGUGUUUAAUUCGCUAUCGUGUAGCACUAUUUAGAUUUGUGCUAUUCCUGUUUUUAUGCACUCAUGUGCAUUAUGCAAAUCAUUUAGGUACGAUAAUUAAUCACGUGAUGCGGAGGAUCAGAACUGAGUCGACCACAAGAUGAUGGAAAGCGUGAGCUUCUCCGCAAGAUGAUGGAUGGACUAAGCGAAUGUCGGAACAAAAGAUGGUCGUCAAGUGGACGUCGUCUAACAACACUAACCUAGUGUUACCCAGGCAAGCCCCGGUGCAUUUGCCACCUCCUUGUGUUUUAAAAAUCUUUUUCACUUGCUUGAUGCAUUAGGUGAUAGGAGUUGAUUGCUAAAACAAUUCCUGCACUACCUUCCUUGAAUUUGAUCACCUUCCUUGAUCAUCGUUUUACAAAAGAUUUUUUUGAUGCUUAGCCUUGCUUUAGAAAAACAAAAUGUUUUGUUUUAAAACAAAAGUGAUGCUACAGAUUGGAUGGGAAGUUUUGAAAAAUAAAACUUGAUGGUGAAUCCAUCAGGGCCUUGAUGGAUUCAACAUCGGAAAAGAUGUACCUCUGCCAGGUACCAAACUUUGGGUUUAAAUUAUAAAGCUGAGACCGGGCGGGUGACUUGCACGAGAAAGGAGUCUCGAUGUAGUGUCUCCGUCUGAGUCGUUUAAGGACCGUACCGAUUGUUGGCCUGCUGAUCUAGGACCCUUUAUCUGGCCACAUACCUCGUCAUGGGUAAGCUUGAACCCGGCUAUUCCAAACAUGAAAAGACAAUCGCGCACUGGGAGUGGAGAGAUGGCGAGAGUGGCAUGUACCCUCCUGGCAAAGGACCGCCUAAAAGGGGUGGUGUGCUCUCGGGUGGCGCGGACCUGUUCAUGUGGUGGAGGAUCCGUGGGAAUGGUAGACAUGUGCAAAAGAGUUAAGAGAAGCAUAUGUCGUGUGGUUGGAGAUCCCCAGCUGGGUAUUAAUCGAUUUGGAUCGCCGAACUUCUCGGAUAUGAAGACUGGAUCUUCGACCCUCAUCGUAGAUAACAAGCGAAACAAAGAUUGGAUUUUAAAAGAAAGCUAGUGUAGGACAAGUGAAUGCUCUAGAUUAGGCAAAUCUAGAUUAAGGAAAAGUAAUUAACUUGUGAUGUAAAAUUUUGGCUUAAGGACCCACUUCUAGUAAGCUUUUCUGCAAAACAGAGUCUUUGAUUCUUGAUAAGCCAUACCUUGAAUCCCUCUAGCCAGCAUAUCUUUGAGAGUCUUUUCUUUAGUCGGGUAAGUCUUGCUGAGUAAUUCCAUACUCAGGGUUUUAUUCCCUGUUGUUUUUCAGGUUUUAACUUUGUGCUGCUGUUGAUGGUGUUAAGUGCCGGUGGGCUCGGCCUUCUUAUAAGUCUAAGUAACUCUUCUAUACUUCUUAUUGAGGAUGUUCACUUGAGCUAGCAUAUAAUUUAAAACUAUAAAUAAUUUAUAAUAGUUUAAAGUUAUUUAUUUGAACCACUUCUGUAACCACUCCGAUAAAUAUAAUGUAAAACUUGAUGUAACUUGUAAAAUUUGGUAAAAAGAUUUCCGCUGCAAAAUGUUGGUGUGUGAUUUGUGUUUACUUAAUCUUGUGAUCCUGGUUGUUCGUGGUUUAUCCGGGGUCCCUGGGACACUCGGACAGAUCCUGUUAAGUUAUCUGGUGCACAUGCAUAGCCGUCUGAGGUCUUUGAGACAAGGGCAGGUGCAUGUGGGCCCAAUAACUUGGGAGGUUCUGCCACAGCUGGUAUCGGAGCGAGAUUAAGUAUAAUACGGUCACAUACGUAUUUUAAAAACAAAGUUUUGGUUUUAGAAAACCUAUUUUCAACUAAACACAUUGUUUGGUUUUGAAAAACAGCUUUGAAAAACUAUAAUGCUAGCGACAUCCUCUGUUAAGCCCUAAACUAAGGACUAUCAGGUGGCUUAGUUGAAAACCAUAACCCACAACCGGGGGUAUUGCAUACAUGUGUACUGUUAUUUUGAAAGCCAUUCAGUCUUGAGUGGAUCGACGCUUAAGGUAAGGUGAGAUGUGAGAGCAUGACCGAACAAACGUCGGUCUAGGGAAGUGCUUAACUGUGGCGCUUGAUUAUAUACAUGUUUUACAUAUGUAUAUAUGAAGGCUGCGAUGUGGAGUAAUUACUUUUCUGGGAAUUCAGUACCCCAUGGAUGUGUAUGGGUAUACAGACAUGGGAAUACUGAGAAGUGUAAUGUACUUGUAACGAUGCACCUAUGCUCAGGUAAGAAGGUGAGUUACCAUAAUGAGUUGCCCUAUGGUUAAAGUGUGGCAACGGCGCCUAUGCGUGGCUCGGCGCUUAAUGAUGAGCUGGCCUCCAUAUAGCAAUAUGUGGAGUAUAAACUGUGAUAAACUGUCAUGUGUGAAUUGCAUCAUGGGAAAAUUGGGCUGUGAUGGAUUUUUCUGCAGGUACACUAACCUCGAAAACGUAUGUGUAGUUGACGACUAGCAAAAUAUCGUGAGAAUCGUAAGUAUGCCACCGAUAUAGAACGUUAUUGCCACAUUGUGUUGGCAAAAUCAGUGAGGACGAAUAGGACGAGCAUGCAUCCUGAUUGUUGCAUCAUGUUUGUCACCUAUACACCCAAGAUGCUUCUCUCAUCUUUAUUCCAGUAACCAUUGAUUGUAGAUAAUAUGUUGUAAUACUGAAUUAUGAACUUCGAUGAAAAAGGUGUCCUCCAUUCUUUAGGUGACCUCUUAGAGUGCUCUAUGUGUGCUCUUUUGUUGAUGUGCCGAUAGAGGGUUAGUAGUUUGGUUGCUUAAACCCAAAAUUAGGCCAUGUUCUUAGUUGGUGAACCGAGACCCAAAUUUGAAUUUACCAUUAUCACUCUGUGACCAAGCCCAUACAAAUAAAUGCUUGAUAAUUUCUUUGUUGGACAUAAGUUGCAUUCGGACUCCAAAUAAGGAUCUUGGCAAUUAACUUGUCACUCCCUUAGUGGUCGUGUUUCCAUCCUAGAUCCUGCCCUUGCUUAGUUGAUACAGGUUGAGGUCUCUAUUGUGUUUGGCCUCUCCUUGCGGAUUAUCUUGUCGCUUUAUCAACCCAACCUAGGAAAGACAUGUCCAACCAUUUUUCUGGAAUUUGAUGCCUUUGGUUUCCCCAUAUCUAUCGAAGGCAUACCAACUUAAUCUUAUGAUUGUUUUCCCCUGUAUCUAGUCAGAUACUGAUCCUUGACCUUGUGAUCUCUACGAUUGGCAAGGAAAUAUGCUUGUGGCUGAACUAACAGUCUCCCAUCGUACUCCUUUCAUCAAGUUUAGGUUAUGGCCAUGUCUUGUCCAUUUCAUCGGGCCAUGAUCUAUUUGGCUCUCUGCUGUAACCAUCAUUACAGGGGGAGCAUCUCUUUGUAUAUUGUCACCCUUGCCUAAUUCAUUUGUAUCGCGUGAGAUUUCUUAUUGGUUACGUCUGGUAAUGGUGUUAUGACUAAAACCGAUGGCACGCGUUGGUAUCACAGUUAAUAGUCAUAAUCCAUUAUGAGAUUAUAUCAAUAUGUUAUCUUCCGUAGACUUCUUCCUUGAAACAAUUUCUAUGUUAUUUGUGAAGAGAUCAAGCAACAUCUGUCAUCUCCGUUGGAUCAAAAGGGCAUACCACUUUCAUGUGUGGUCUUAUUUCUUUUGAUCUUGGUAGUGACUACUCAUGCAAGUUCCCUUUACGUCCUUUGUGUAAAGGUGAAGCCUUGGAGCUUUUUAGUGUCGAGAGACAACUGAUUAGCUCUCAAAAUGGAGAUUGGAUUUUCCCUACUGUUGAGAUGCAGGAGUUUGUUCAUUCGCUCUCCUAUUUAAUCCAUGUAUUUCCUAACUAAGUGGGUAAUUCAUCUCGCAUGAAGAAACGGAUGAACAACCUGACCAAAUGGAUUUCUACCCAAAUGCAUGACCUUUUGCUUGCAAAUGUGAGCUCUUGACUGUUGGCUUACCGAUGGUACUGAGAAGACUUGCUCAAUGUCAAAAGUAGUUCAACAAGUUGGUUUUGACUAACUUGUAACUGCUCAAUGAACAAAGAUUGAGUUUAGAGAUCGUUUUAUCGAUUUGCCUGAACUCAUUUUGGUUCAACCCAUACUGAGAAAGUACUUAUAAAAAUCAAGAUUAAGGCGGCCAAUAACCACCUAGCCAUCGCUCUAGUCGUGUCUCGAUCGCCUCACGUGUGCUUUUCUAGCAUGUAUGACCAGGUCGAGUCAUGCCUAGUGCUUGAUAAAAUGGACUAGUUUUAAAGUCCGUAUCUACAGAUCCCUUUGCUGGUGAUGUUCUCGAAUCUAUAUCACCUUUCAGGGACUUGGAUUCUCUGGCUAACACGAGUUAACUGUGAUGUUAUUCGACAUUCACACCCGUCACGUGUGCUAUGAGCUUACCGUAACCACUUGUUGGUAAACCGCUUUCUGUGUGUUUUACCCAAGAUGGUUGCAUCUGGUUCUGUUUGGGUGAAAUCGCGUAUUAGUCGCUCGCUCAACAGACUUAGAUAGUACCGUGUCAUCAGAAAAAGCAAACUGCACGCAUGGAACCUUAUGUGUUCUUCUGGCAGACAUCAUCUCUAUUGGUGGACAUUUCUAAAUUGGCUUAAGGCGAUACAUGAUAUGUCCACUAGAGAAACAACAUUCUGAGACACUCGUCCUUGCUUGGAACUGCCUUAUAAUUAUCGCUGAUAUGAACACGGGUUACGUACUUCUCUACCCUUAGAAGUCUUUCGCCCGAAUCUCGGGACGAGAUUCUUUUAAGGGGGGAGGGCUGUAACACCCCAGGUGUUUAUAUUCCGCUCGACAACGAGUAUAAAUUUAAGCACGUAAUAUCAGUGAAUAAAACAGAUGCUAAAAUUUAAUCAUCUUUGUCUAUCGCGAUUUUAAUAUCGCAUUUGUUUCGUCUGUCGCGAGUUCGACAUCGUUUUUAUCUAUCCGGGCUCUUCUAAAUUUUUCGUGUUGUUCGGAACAUAAUCGUUCCAAAAAUCGGUGCGUCCGGUGAUUAUUUAAAAUACAUCGCUCGCGCGAAUACGAAUUCAGAAGCUUUACCUACUCUUACGAUUUUAUCCCGGGCAAAUUAGUUUAAACUCGACGACUAAAAUGUUCGGGGCAAAAUAAUCCGAAUCACGCGUUGUCUGAGAAAAAUCGUGCGCGAGGUUAUAAUUCAAUUUAUUCUUCUGCAUGCUGUUUCGAAGACAAAAUCGCGUAUACGUUCGCAGAUAUUGUUUCAGCUAAUUUCGGUCGAAUCACGCUGAACAAAUUAUCAGUACCGAAAUCAGUUUAUUUCGGUCUGUUGUUUCUUGCCCGAUCCAAAACUUUGGAUAUAAAUAACGGCGCAAACUCAUCUGAUUCCAAAGCAUUCGCUAAAUCAAAACCAUGUCAUCCUUACUAUCUAUAUCGUAUACAUUGCUAAGAAAAUUAGUACCGAGCUGAUUAUUCAUAACUAAUCUGUUUUCCUGUUCAGACUGCAGAUAAAAUUAUCUACUCUAAAUUAAAUCAAGCGCGGUCUAAAUUUGUCGAAGCCGAAAUGAAUUUGGUCCGGUCCGUGCGUUUCUUAUUUCGAUCUAAUUUUUGUCAAAUAUAAAUAACGGGUACGAAUUUGUCUGACAUCGAGGUUUUCACUAAAUCAAACAUUGUCUAAAUAUUGUAGCCGAUAAAUUUUAGGUCCAAUCCAUUAUUUGUCGCGCAAACCCUAAGUCUAGAACCUAGGAUUAUAAUUGUAAUUCUGUUUGGUGAAAUGAAAAAAAAAAUCUGCAACACAUAUCCGUUGCUGUUGCGGUGAAGAUUUUUUUUCUCUCCACCGUUCUCUCUCCCUCCUCUUGAUAUUUCUUGCCGCCGCUCAGGUAAUGGAAAAUAUCUUGCUGCCUCAUCCAAGCACCGCUCAAACCAUUGGUUUUAUCUCCUGCUGCCCUCUGCUCAUUUGCCACACCGAGCAGCCCCUGGAGGCUUCCUCCCAAUGCCAUACAUCUUCACGCACUCAACCUCGCUCGCCUCUCCCCUCAUCUCUACUAUUUCUGGCCGGCAACAGAAGUCCUUCUCCUCGAUUUGUGCUUAUGUGCCCACCAGCCGUUCAUCGCUGCCGCAAGCUCGCAUCUGCUCUCCACCACGGCGAGCUCCCCAUCGCCGUCCAGCUCGCCGGCUUUAGCUACAGGGCGCCAUCAACCACAAGCUCCGACCUGGAACGCUCGUGCUCAGCCUCCGGUGGACCUUCCUCGUCGACUCCUGCUGCGCUCACCUGCGUUUCCUCCUGCGCCGGCCAUCCAGCAGCUUGCCCCACCCCACUCGCGAGUUUUCUGCAUCGCGCUGUCCUAGCCAUGGACGCUGUCCUGCACGCGCCGGCAUCGCGCUCGGACCUCUCCCAACAUCCUCUCGGCAACUAGGCAUCUCGCCUCGUUUUCCAGCAUCGCCAGACCCCGCUGCUCCUGUGUCAACCUGGCUGACGCUGCUCCCUGCUCGGCCUCUGCUUGUGUGUCUCCUCUGCUACCUCACUGGCGAGCUUGGCUUCAGCUCCGUCGUUCGGCCAUGGACACCUGAACAUACACCUCCAUCUUCCUGUGUCACGUUCGGCUCGCCUGAACCUGAGUUCGCCAGUCGUCCCUGCUCGUCGCGCCAAGCACCAGAGCAUCGGAUGUCUGGAUCCCACCGAACAUGGUCGCGUCUCCCCUCACCUUGCCGCGGUCGGGCUGGCCGUCGUCGUCAGCUCGCCUCCAGGCCAACGAAUUUGUCGAACUGCUCACUGCCAGGACGUCGUGCCACGACGCGAGCUCGAUCCCCGCUGUCGUCGCUUCACCGUGCUCGCUAGCCGUGCGCCCCUCAGCUCCCUGUUCGGCAAAAUGAGUGGUCCGGUGCUCGUCGCGUGUUGAGAAGAUCGACACCGAUGUUCUUGCCAAGGUGUUGAUCGUUUGAUUUUGAGGAAAACGACGCACACAUGGUGUUCAGUGAAUGGUUCAAAUCGGAUAGCCUCGUCGAAAUCACGGCUCCGAAUCGAUUUGGAUCUGGUACGAUAAUUAAUCACGUGAUGCGGAGGAUCAGAACUGAGUCGACCACAAGAUGAUGGAAAGCGUGAGCUUCUCCGCAAGAUGAUGGAUGGACUAAGCGAAUGUCGGAACAAAAGAUGGUCGUCAAGUGGACGUCGUCUAACAACACUAACCUAGUGUUACCCAGGCAAGCCCCGGUGCAUUUGCCACCUCCUUGUGUUUUAAAAAUCUUUUUCACUUGCUUGAUGCAUUAGGUGAUAGGAGUUGAUUGCUAAAACAAUUCCUGCACUACCUUCCUUGAAUUUGAUCACCUUCCUUGAUCACCGUUUUACAAAAGAUUUUUUUGAUGCUUAGCCUUGCUUUAGAAAAACAAAAUGUUUUGUUUUAAAACAAAAGUGAUGCUACAGAUUGGAUGGGAAGUUUUGAAAAAUAAAACUUGAUGGUGAAUCCAUCAGGGCCUUGAUGGAUUCAACAUCGGAAAAGAUGUACCUCUGCCAGGUACCAAACUUUGGGUUUAAAUUAUAAAGCUAAGACCGGGCGGGUGACUUGCACGAGAAAGGAGUCUCGAUGUAGUGUCUCCGUCUGAGUCGUUUAAGGACCGUACCGAUUGUUGGCCUGCUGAUCUAGGACCCUUUAUCUGGCCACAUACCUCGUCAUGGGUAAGCUUGAACCCGGCUAUUCCAAACAUGAAAAGACAAUCGCGCACUGGGAGUGGAGAGAUGGCGAGAGUGGCACGUACCCUCCUGGCAAAGGACCGCCUAAAAGGGGUGGUGUGCUCUCGGGUGGCGCGGACCUGUUCAUGUGGUGGAGGAUCCGUGGGAAUGGUAGACAUGUGCAAAAGAGUUAAGAGAAGCAUAUGUCGUGUGGUUGGAGAUCCCCAGCUGGGUAUUAAUCGAUUUGGAUCGCCGAACUUCUCGGAUAUGAAGACUGGAUCUUCGACCCUCAUCGUAGAUAACAAGCGAAACAAAGAUUGGAUUUUAAAAGAAAGCUAGUGUAGGACAAGUGAAUGCUCUAGAUUAGGCAAAUCUAGAUUAAGGAAAAGUAAUUAACUUGUGAUGUAAAAUUUUGGCUUAAGGACCCACUUCUAGUAAGCUUUUCUGCAAAAUAGAGUCUUUGAUUCUUGAUAAGCCAUACCUUGAAUCCCUCUAGCCAGCAUAUCCUUGAGAGUCUUUUCUUUAGUCGGGUAAGUCUUGCUGAGUAAUUCCAUACUCAGGGUUUUAUUCCCUGUUGUUUUUCAGGUUUUAACUUUGUGCUGCUGUUGAUGGUGUUAAGUGCCGGUGGGCUCGGCCUUCUUAUAAGUCUAAGUAACUCUUCUAUACUUCUUAUUGAGGAUGUUCACUUGAGCUAGCAUAUAAUUUAAAACUAUAAAUAAUUUAUAAUAGUUUAAAGUUAUUUAUUUGAACCACUUCUGUAACCACUCCGAUAAAUAUAAUGUAAAACUUGAUGUAACUUGUAAAAUUUGGUAAAAAGAUUUUCGCUGCAAAAUGUUGGUGUGUGAUUUGUGUUUACUUAAUCUUGUGAUCCUGGUUGUUCGUGGUUUAUCCGGGGUCCCUGGGACACUCGGACAGAUCCUGUUAAGUUAUCUGGUGCACAUGCAUAGCCGUCUGAGGUCUUUGAGACAAGGGCAGGUGCAUGUGGGCCCAAUAACUUGGGAGGUUCUGCCACAGCAAGACUAGGAGACGUUGAAUUGGUUUGGACUCUAUGGACUUGUUAUGUAACGUAUGAAUUAUAUAGACUUGUAAUGGACUCAUUUGGCCUCUACGGGCUUGUAUGACAUUUUAAUGGACUUGUAUGAAUUCUAUGGACUUGUAAUGCACUUGUUUAGACUUUUAUGAGCUUGCUUGGAAUUGUUUACAAUUGUAUGCACUUGUAUGUUAUGCUUAUCUAUGUGUAUAUGUUGGAUUGACAAAAAACAGAGAAAACUCUGCCGAAAUUUUGUGAAAUUGUUGGUUAUGUCAUGUAGCCUUUACAGAACUAUUACAUAGCCUUUUCAGAAGCAUUAAUUUUUGGACUAGCAUCUAGUCUUUUCAGAUCCAUUUCGUAGCCUUUUCAGGAGUGUUUAUAUAGCCUUUUCAGAGUGUAAAAAUAGCCUUUUCAGGAUUGUAUAUAUAGCCUUUUCAGGAUUGUAUAUAUAGCCUUUUCAGAAUCAACUAUAUCCUACAUUAGCGUAGGACAUGUAGCCUUUUCAGAACAAGAACAUAGCCUUUUUAGAGUUUUUGUACAUACCUGAUGUUUAUAAUCUAUUACACUAUUUAUCCUUUAGCCUAUAUAUACACGAUCCUUUGUACAUUUGCUUCAUUGUGCAAUACAAUGACUUCAGGGUCUUCUAGGGGCAAGGGUGCGGUAAAUGAGAGACGAAAGGAUGGAGGGAAGUUAACUCCAAUGUGUUUCGAUGGCCCUCUUGGUCCAGAUUUUUUUGAAGAGGCGGUUUUUAACUUUCCAGUUCAAAGUAAAAAAGAUUUCAACAAAGAGGUUAGACUUAGGUCCUACGAUAAUAGGAGAGAAGAUUGGCCGAAGUGCAUGCAUGGUGAGGAUUGCUUGGUGCAGAUGUUCGUUGAGGGUGGAAUUGAUGGAGGCCGGCGUUUCUUCAGAUGUCCUUAUGCAUAUGUACAAAUUAAUUUCUAGUCCUUUGUUCUAAAUACUUUUGUUGUUCAGUGAAACUAACUAUAAACAUUUAUGCAGCAUUCAUUGGUCAAGGAGAAUUGUGGGUUCACUCGUUGGGUAGAUCCUCGUCCGAUUUUUCCUCAUGUGGAAUACAUAUCCUACCUACAGAAAAGGAUAUUUGAUCUAGAGAGAGAAGUAAGCAACAGAAAUGCUGAGGAAGAAAGAGACAACAACAAUGGUGGUGCUUCACAGGUGCAAGUAUGCACAGAUCCAUAUUGUUGCUGCCCUUGUCACAACAAGAAUGUUGGUCCUCCGUCGUCUCCACCGCACCCACAGCAGACACCAACAAUGGGAGGAUACUAUGGGGAAGGGUCAACUCAAUUUGGAAUGUGGGAGCACUACUAGAAAACUCUUCUGUAUCAAUUGCUUUCAGCGUGUUGAUUAUCUAUUUCAAUUGCUUCAAGUCGCCUUCAAGAAUUGCUUUAAAUCUAGUUUUCAUCAAUUAUGUAUUUAUGUAAUUUUUCAUCAAUUUGAAGGUAAUUCAUUACGAAAUA